UAUGCUCUAACUGCCUGUGUUGAAGGCUCU
rnacentral:piRNA from 1 species